rnacentral:rRNA from 1 species
AUAUUGCGCAAUGGGGGGAACCCUGACGCAGCAACGCCGCGUGAAGGAAGAAGGUUUUCGGAUCGUAAACUUCUUUAAGUGUGGAAGAUAAUGACGGUACACACAGAAUAAGCCACGGCUAACUACGUGCCAGCAGCCGCGGUAAUACGUAGGGGGCAAGCGUUAUCCGGAUUUACUGGGUGUAAAGGGAGCGUAGACGGCAAAGCAAGUCUGAAGUGAAAGCCCGGGGCUCAACCCCGGGACUGCUUUGGAAACUGUUCUGCUAGAGUGCUGGAGAGGUAAGCGGAAUUCCUAGUGUAGCGGUGAAAUGCGUAGAUAUUAGGAGGAACACCAGUGGCGAAGGCGGCUUACUGGACAGUAACUGACGUUGAGGCUCGAAAGCGUGGGGAGCAAAC